rnacentral:rRNA from 1 species
AUUCCAGCUCCAAUGGCGUAUAUUAAAGUUGUUGCAGUUAAAAAGCUCGUAGUUGGAUUUCUGGCAGGAGCGACCGGUCGGCCCAUUGUGGUGUGUACUAGUGUUGCAUCUGGCCAUAUUUGUGGAGAGCGUGUGUGGCAUUAAUUUGUCGUGCUCGGGACCCGCAUCGUUUACUGUGAGAAAAUUAGAGUGUUCAAAGCAGGCUUAUGCCUUGGAUAUGUUAGCAUGGAAUAAUAAGAUAAGACUUUGGCGGUCUAUUUUGUUGGUUUGCACGCCAUUGUAAUGAUUGAUAGGGACAGUUGGGGGUAUUCAUAUUUAAUUGUCAGAGGUGAAAUUCUUGGAUUUUGGAAAGAUGAACUACUGCGAAGGCAUUUACCAAGGAUGUUUUCAUCA